UAAAGACAAUUUUUUAAAAAGUAAAAAGAAAGGAAAAGAAAACAAAAAUUACAGUACCCAAAAGGAAAAAACUCAACUAUUUAUUCAAUACUUUUUAUAGCUACCCAACAGUUUGAACUUUAAUCCUUUAGUUCCAGGUUGAGGUAAUACUAACUUGUAUAAUGAAUUGUCUCAUAACUAAUAAGUUAAUUUUAACAAAACCAAAACAUCUGCAAAGUGUACAAUGUAGGCACGUACUAAAUCACACAAUGAGGUAGUGUUUUAUUUUAUUGACUUAAUGAGUUUUAAAAUAGCCAACUAACAUAAAAAUAUACAUUCGGAUUUUAAAGACAUUAUUCAAAUUCUGCCAAAUAGUUCAUGUAUGAGCUAAAACCUGUGCUUACCAGACAAAAACAUUACAGCCAGCAGUUUGCGCUGCUUCACUGUUCUCAGUUUUGAACACUAAUUGACGCCUCAAGUUCUGCGUCAGUCUUUGCAGCCACCGUGUCUGAGCAGCGUAUUGCAGCGGCAGCUGGAAACACAAAUUGUGCCUGAAAGGAAGUCCAGUGAUUCCAGGACAUCUGAACAUGGCUUGCAAUGGGUGUAGCUGGGCCAGUGAGUGACAGAGGCCAAUUGUAUAACUUGGAGCCCUCAAAUUGUCUUCUAUGUAGAACCCAAUGUUUAUUAAAGGGUAAUUAAUAAAAGUGUGCUCAUUUGAAGCUUACACAUAUGCAUUAUUAAAAUUCAACCAUAGCAAUUAUUUACAACUUAAACCAACAAAAGAUUUUCUUCUCAGAGGAAAAUCUUACUAUUGACAUAGUUUAGAAUGGCUGAUGCAGGUUAUCAAUAAAAGCAGACCAAUUAUUAGUCUGUUUUAUUACUACUUUUAUUUAUUUAUUUUUAAAUUGAGACAGAGUCUCACUCUGUCGCCCAGGCUGGAGUGCAGUGGCAUGAUCUUGGUUCACUGCAACCUCCGCCUCCCGGGUUCAAGCGAUCGAGCGAUUCUCGUGCCUCAGAGCAAUUCUCAUGCCUCAGCUUCCUGAGUAGCUGGGAUUACAGACACGCGCCACCACGCCUGGCUAAUUUUUUUGUAUUUUUAGUAGAGACGAGGUUUCACCAUGUUGGCCAGGCUGGCCUCGAACUCCUAACCUCAGGUGAUCCACCCGCCUUGGCCUCCCAAGGUGUUGGGAUUACAGGGUGAGCCACCGCGCCCAGCCUUAUUACUACUUUUAAAUUUGCCAUAGCUCCUGCACCUGCGUACUGCCUGCCCUGAGAGUGGACCCCUCUCGCCACCUGCCCGCGGUCCUGAGCUGGCCUCAAAUGACCUUUCAGCGUCUUCUGCCCAGGGGGUAAGAUGAAAGCAGGGGCCCUUCCUGGUCUUCUAGAAGCAUCAGCUUUCUGAGACUCCUGCUCCCCAGCACAAACCAUUCUCAGGACGCCUGGGCUGUCAGUUCAGCUCGUGGCCUCCUCCGCUAUUUAAGACCCAGCUCACCUCCUACCUCCCCAAGAUGCCUGACCACCUCCUCCGUCUCCACAACGGGGUGCGUAAGGCCCAGCCGCCUGUGUGCCUUCGAGUCCUGCUGGGCUCCUUGAGGGUCCUCACUGUCCAGCUCCGGGCCCAUGACGGGCAUCUUGGGAGGUGCUCGGCGUCUGGCUCUGUUCCCGCCAUACCCAGCAGAACGCUGUGGUCCCUCAGGGCUGCUGAAUGAGGGGGCGGAGGCAGCAGGAAGAACAGUCAGCCCUCAAUGAGGGCCGCAACCAGGCGAUAGGAGGCCACACGACAGCCAGACGCCCCAUUGGCCUGGCGGCUGCAGUCCAGCCCUUCCGGGUGAGUGGGAUUUGCUGCUCACGCCCGCAGCAGCCCCUGAGGCGGGGAGGCGCGGGAGGGACUGGAGCCUUCCGCCCGAGUGUUCCCCAGCCUCGUGGCUGGCCCUGCACGGGCAUCGCCUCGCCUCAACCCCACAGCAGCCUUUCAGGCCGUCCUGUUUGGGUGGGUUCAGAGGCGCCUCGUCCUUCCAACCAGCCAGGCACUAAGGGGGCCUCGUAAGGAGGAGCGUAAGGCUCUCAGAACAAGCGGCCGCCCUCAAAGGGCCUGGAACUCCACAAAGGCAGUGCUUCAGAAGCCUAGCGGCCUCCUGCCAGCUCUUCUGCGGGGAAUUCCCCUGCCCUGAGGCGCUCCAGCCUAGCCCAGUCUGCUUGCACCCUCUGCAUAUCCCCAGCACAGCUGUUCUGCCUCGAGGCCCCCAGCUAACCAGCAGCUUCUCCUACUGAGGGAAUCUGACAGCAGCCCCUGCCCCCUCCACCCAGCCGUCUCCCUGGUUCACGCUCCUACUGUGCCCAGGCUGCUUGCUUCUAGGGGACUGGGGCCAGACUGGCACAGUAAAGGUCCCGUCUAAUGCAGAGAUCUCCUAUUCUUCUUACGUCCUUCAUUUUACAAAUGAGGAGGCUGUGGAGAGGUCUAAUGAUGUGCACCAGGGCCUGCAGAAAGCGUUUCUGAGCACGGAGGCUGGGGAGUGAGACCCCUGGAAGGCAGUGGCCCCUUCCUGGCCCGUGCACUGGCCAACUGCUGGGAUAUACUGCCUGUGGCGAGACUUAUUAAGCUAUCUGAAGCCGUGAAGGGAAACCUGCUAUGUGUAAAUAUCAACCAUCUGGCAAAAUACCUGGAGCGAGA
rnacentral:lncRNA from 1 species